CUCACUUUCUCGCCAUGUUCAUUCCUCUCUCCUGUGGCUGUUAUCUCUGCGACUUUCGUGGUGUUCUUGCCCCGCUAAUAUGAUGAACUGAGAUCAAGGCUUGGGCCUACUCCAACUGCUCAGAAAUUCAGAAAACUACAAGGCCAGUUAAUAAACAACAUACAUCAAAGUUGCCGGUGAACGCAGCAGGCCAAGCAGCAUCUACAGGAAGAGGCGCAGUCGAUGUUUCAGGCCGAGACUCUUCGUCAGGACUAACUGAAGGAAGAGAAAAAUACUGGAAGCACUUAGCACACAAGAGAAAAUCUGCAGAUGCUAGAAAUCCAAGCAACACACACAAGAUGCCGGAGGGAGGACGCAGCAGGCCAGGCAGCAUCUAUGGAAGAGUAUAGUCGACGUUUUGGGCCAAGGCCCUUCAUCAGGACUGGAGAA